rnacentral:rRNA from 1 species
AUUGAACGCUGGCGGCAGGCCUAACACAUGCAAGUCGAGCGAGCGGCGGACGGGUGAGUAAUGCCUGGGAAUUGCCCAGUCGAGGGGGAUAACAGUUGGAAACGACUGCUAAUACCGCAUACGAGUGGCUUGCCCAGUGGGGCUUAGCUAGUUGGUGAGGUAAUGGCUCACCAAGGCGACGAUCCCUAGCUGGUCUGAGAGGAUGAUCAGCCACACGGGAACGGAGACACGGUCCAGACUCGUACGGGAGGCAGCAGUGGGGAAUAUUGGACAAGGGGGGAAAGGCUGAUGUAGCCAUGCCGCGUGUGUGAAGAAGGCCUUCGGGUUGUAAAGCACGUUAAGCGAGGAGGCGGUACUCGCAGAAGAAGCACCGGCUAACUCCGUGCCAGCAGCCGCGGUAAUAC